CCCCGCUCCAGAUCCCGGAAUCCAUCACGCUCGAGGCAACAUUGUUUCCGGACCCCUUCACGUUCGAGACAGUGCCGUUCCCGAUCCAGAUCUGCUUCUGCCCCACCCGCCAAGUCUCCUACUACCAAGGUCAUGCAGAUGAAAGCAGCAGUUUCACAAUGCCCAGCCUUGGUGCCCUCCAUCAAGAGCAAGCCACUUGCGUUCGCCUUCAGGCAGAUGAUUGAUGUCUUCUUGAAAGCAGUUGGGAAGACGACAUUGAUGCAAGAUUUCAGCAGUGCCAUGCGCUACCUUUAUUGGUCAAGAUGCCCAGAGAACGGAGUCCCUGCACCUCGUGCUUAACCGUGAACAAUUUUUUUCUAUUGGAAAGCUAAACGCCAUUUGCUGUAGAAAUUGCAUUUUUGCAGCUCAGAUGUGCACUAUAUUAUUUUCUAAUUUUGAAUCAAUUAAUAUUCACUGUUCAGUAUAAAAAAUGAUGUACAGUGUGAAGGACAAGGACUGCGAGAGACGACAUACACUGCGCUGACUUCCAAUGUUUGUACACAAGAGGGUUCAUGCGCAGAAAAGGAAAGGCAGUCACAAGGGGUGUUCUAACAAUAAGUCAUUGUACUCAAGAACAUGGUCACUUGAAAAAAACCAUCACA